rnacentral:lncRNA from 1 species
CUUUUUUUUUCUCCACUCCUUGUUACAUGCUUCCCUCUCUCUACACAGAAAGCAAUCGCAGAUAAGCAGAUUAAUAUGUGGGAUAGCUCCUCUUCAUUGUUCUGAGCAGCACUUCCAGCUUUUCAUAGCCAGUUGGACUUGUUAGGAGGAGCUAAAUGAUUGGUUGUUUCCUGGGCUCCGUUUCAUAAAUUAUAGCCCAGCAUGCACGAGCAUGAUUCCUACAGUUGCAGUAAUCCAGAGGCCUGUCAGUUCCUGACUUUAUGCAUGUUUAUUCCUACUUGUUUUAUAAUAUUGCACUGGAAUUUCCUGUCUUAGAUAGUUUGCUAUUGCAUCUUCAGGACUCUUUGCUGCCUUCUGUUGUGUUAGAAUUUUACCCGAUGCAAGCCAUAUCCUUCUGCCUGGGCCAAGACAAACUCCUCAGCUGUUAGGUGGUGAAGUUAAGUUAUUGUCCUUGCAUAACAACUGGUAUUUGGAUGGUCAAGGGAUAAAAACUCUCCUUUGAAACUUACAGAACAAUUUUGAUUUAGUCAUAGAGUCAUCAUGAACAAGAAUACCUGCACUCUACAUGGGAGGAGCAAAAGUGUGAGUAGAAGGUUUUCUUUUCUUUGCUUCUAUUUUUAUUAUCAGUAUUUUUCCAUACUGCUCAUUUGCUGGUUUAGCCUUUCAAAUACCACUC